AGAUGCAGGAGAGCUGUAUGUUUGGGGAAGCAACAAGCAUGGACUACUGGCUUCCUUGGCUGCUUUUCUUCCUAUGCCCCAGAAAAUAGAAGCACAUUGUUUUCAGAAUGAAAAGGUCACUUCUGUCUGGAGUGGGUGGACACACCUGGUUGCUCAGACAGAAACUGGCAAGGUGUUUACCUGGGGCCGAGCAGACUAUGGUCAACUAGGGAGGAAAUUGGAGUCUCGUGAAGACUGGAAACUACAAAAUCAGGAUCCAUCACACCCCUGCUCAGGACCUCCGAAGAGCAUGCCUUCCUUUCUGCCUUGCUUAACAGGAGCAGUUGAGGUCUCCUGUGGCUCAGAGCAUAAUCUGGCAGUGAUUGGCUACUUGUCUCCCAGCCUCUGACUCAGGUUCUGAAGGGCAAGACCCCUGCGUUUUCCUUUUGUUUCCUGCCUAUUUGCAGCACCCAGAGCAGUGCCUGGUACUCGGCAGAGACUCGAGCACUGUUUUCUGAAUCGAGCUUAGACUGGCCCAGCCGCCUGCGGUGACAGCAGUAGGCCCGAACGUGCUGUGCAACGAGGCAGAACCAAGGACAGCUGAGG